rnacentral:rRNA from 1 species
AGGGUUCGAUUCUGGCUCAGGAUGAACGCUGGCGGCGUGCUUAACACAUGCAAGUCGAACGGGAUCCCAGGAGCUUGCUCCUGGGUGAGAGUGGCGAACGGGUGAGUAAUGCGUGACCGACCUGCCCCAUACACCGGAAUAGCUCCUGGAAACGGGUGGUAAUGCCGGAUGCUCCAGUUGACCGCAUGGUCCUCUGGGAAAGAUUCAUCGGUAUGGGAUGGGGUCGCGUCCUAUCAGCUUGAUGGCGGGGUAACGGCCCACCAUGGCUUCGACGGGUAGCCGGCCUGAGAGGGCGACCGGCCACAUUGGGACUGAGAUACGGCCCAGACUCCUACGGGAGGCAGCAGUGGGGAAUAUUGGGCAAUGGGGGAAACCCUGACCCAGCAACGCCGCGUGAAGGAAGAAGGUUUUCGGAUCGUAAACUUCUAUCCUUGGUGAAAAUAAUGAUGGUAGCCAAGAAGGAAGCCCCGGCUAACUACGUGCCAGCAGCCGCGGUAAUACGUAGGGGGCAAGCGUUAUCCGGAUUUACUGGGUGUAAAGGGAGCGCAGGCGGUGCGGCAAGUCUGAUGUGAAAGCCCGGGGCUCAACCCCGGUACUGCAUUGGAAACUGUCGUACUAGAGUGUCGGAGGGGUAAGCGGAAUUCCUAGUGUAGCGGUGAAAUGCGUAGAUAUUAGGAGGAACACCAGUGGCGAAGGCGGCUUACUGGACGAUAACUGACGCUGAGGCUCGAAAGCGUGGGGAGCAAACAGGAUUAGAUACCCUGGUAGUCCACGCUGUAAACGAUGAUUACUAGGUGUGGGGGGACUGACCCCUUCCGUGCCGCAGUUAACACAAUAAGUAAUCCACCUGGGGAGUACGACCGCAAGGUUGAAACUCAAAGGAAUUGACGGGGGCCCGCACAA